AGAGUUUGAUCCUGGCUCAGGAUGAACGCUAGCGGCAGGCCUAACACAUGCAAGUCGAGGGAGAAGCCCUUUCGGGGGCAGAAACCGGCGCACGGGUGCGUAACGCGUAUGCAACCUACCUUUCACAGGGGGAUAGCCCGAAGAAAUUUGGAUUAAUACCCCAUAAUAUUAUUGGAUGGCAUCAUUUGAUAAUUAAAACUGCGGUGGUGAAAGAUGGGCAUGCGUCCUAUUAGCUAGUUGGAGUGGUAACGGCACCCCAAGGCUACGAUAGGUAGGGGUCCUGAGAGGGAGAUCCCCCACACUGGUACUGAGACAGGGACCAGACUCCUACGGGAGGCAGCAGUGAGGAAUAUUGGUCAAUGGUCGGAAGACUGAACCAGCCAUGCCGCGUGCAGGAAGAAUGCCUUAUGGGUUGUAAACUGCUUUUAUAUGGGAAGAAUAAGGCGUACGUGUACGUUGAUGACGGUACCAUAUGAAUAAGCAUCGGCUAACUCCGUGCCAGCAGCCGCGGUAAUACGGAGGAUGCGAGCGUUAUUCGGAAUCAUUGGGUUUAAAGGGUCUGUAGGCGGGCUAUUAAGUCAGGGGUGAAAGGUUUCAGCUUAACUGAGAAAUUGCCUUUGAUACUGGUAGUCUUGAAUAUCUGUGAAGUUCUUGGAAUGUGUAGUGUAGCGGUGAAAUGCUUAGAUAUUACACAGAACACCGAUUGCGAAGGCAGGGGACUAACAGACAAUUGACGCUGAGAGACGAAAGCGUGGGGAGCGAACAGGAUUAGAUACCCUGGUAGUCCACGCU
rnacentral:rRNA from 2 species